ensembl:lncRNA
GCUUUGGAUAACAUUUUAUUUAUGUUAUCUGUGCACGGCAAGUGGCAAAGCUCUCACAUUCUGGGAAUCCAGACAGCCCCAGGUGGUAUCAGGUGGCCGAGGCUGGCCAAUGCAUGCUAGGCAGAGUGGGGUGGUAGAGAGCAAAGAAAGCCUGUCUCUUGCCAGAAAGUGAGCCUGGGAAAGAGAUUUGGUGGAAAUCAGAGUCUUCUCAGGGGUUUCCCUCACACCCAGGGAUCUAACCUCCAAUUACUCUGUUUCUGCAAAAGCUUCCUAGUUCUACUUAAGAACACCCUCUGUUCUCUCCAAGUGCCUUGAAUUCCCCAGUGCCAGUGGGAAGCACAGAAAGAUGCCUGUCUCUAUGCAAUGUGGUACAUUGUGGGAAGCCUGCAAUGUCACUUCCCUCUAGCCCCAGAGAGUUUCUUUUUACGAGAAGAAUUAAACCACCAGUCUGCCUUCCAGUUUGCAAAAAAUGUUUUUUCACAUGCUGCCAAGAAAGAACGUGUUGCCAAGCCAGCUUAGUUGCAAUUAAAAUGUGAUGGCACCUAUCACAGAGAACUCCUCCGACGCUUCGCAAAGAACUGCACCAAGACUCACAAGCAGGAGCGGGUGCCAGCCCCGCUUCCACUGGAGCUGCACCCUCUGCCUUAUGAAGGGCCACACGGACCCUCCACUCUACAACAAACUUGAUGUAUAUUCUGGCCUUUAAUCUUCACAAUCCCUCAGGAGUCUUCCCAGCUGAGACCCUGAUCAUCGAGAAGCAGAGGAGAGCCUGCCCCCACACCCCACCAUGCCCUUUCUGAAUUCCUGACCCAUGAAUUCCUGAGCACAAUAAGGAAGUAUAUUGUGCCGUGACGCAGCCUGACACAGAAAAAGAUGCUUAAAUAUAAGUAGAAGCCCAACAUUUUAAGAGGACAUCCCAGCUCUAGACACCAAGACCAAACCUGCAGAGACUCACCUAGAAAGCACCUGCCUUUCGAGGGACCUCGCCCUCCGCUGGCUGCGCAGGGAGUGACUGUCCCUGAUUUGAACUGCUCCCGUAUCCACCCCAGGCCUCUGCAGGAGACUGUUCUGGAGCCUGCCUGACUUCGUCCUCUCAGAGAACACUCACCCAACAGCAAGGUACAGCUCAGUUUCCUUUUCCACAGGACCUUUGAACGGAGGGAUAGGGAACCUGGGCUCAGUCCCUGAUACUUGAGGGAGCUGGGAACUCCUUGUCAUUUGGGCUGCGAGCUGUCACGAGGAAGGAGAGCGCUGCUCUGCAGAGUGAAGCCAGAGGGAUCCUCCUGGACUGUGGACAAAGACCAUAAGCGGAGCAGAAAGAAAAGACUAAACAGCCCUGAGGACGGCCUGGGAGCUAGAGACACUGCUGCUCUUAGCUCUCCAAAGGUGUCCACUCGCGGUCCCUGCCGUGGGAAAGCCUCCACCCAGCCUUCAUCAGACCCUGUGUCACCUUAUCAGAUCUCAGGAGUGUUUAAUGUAUGUCGGGAAGGUGUUCAUGAAGUAAAAUGACCAGAGGAAGUUCUGGAAUCCCUGAGAAGAAUUUUACAGCGUUAGCUUUUUCACUUGUUCUUUAGCUUUUUCUUCCAUGCCAUAUUUUCUCAACUUUGGGUUGAAAUGUAAUAAGUUGUGUUACACAUGUAAAUUUUUGACGUGUUGUUCACACCAGUAUUGAACAGACAGUUGUUUCGCAUGUACAGUGAACCGUACUUUUCAUAAGAACACAAUUGUGGGAGAGGGACCACCUUCAACCUAGAGUCCCCUAAAGCCAAGUUCCCAGGGGAUUGCCUCACCCCAUAAGCUCUUCUGUUCAUCUUAUUUAUGUUCAUUGACAUUAUGUAAUAUUCCAUUAUACUUGUUGGUAUAAAGAUGAUAAUCCAUGGUUCCAGCCUCUGAGGGGCUCAUGGGGACAGACAUGGCCUGCAAUGGGCCAACUUAGUAGAGGUACAAGUGUCAAUGGAGCACAGAACAGGGAGGAAGUACAUCUGUCCCCACAGAAUGUCAGCCGGGCAUUGAAGGGUGAGCAGGAGUUGGCAGGAAAACUAAAAUAACAGAGUUAGUCAAGGCUGGAGAAAGAGGUGCAGGACCCUUGGGUCAGAGACGGCCCUGAAGGCCAUGGAACUAGAUGAGUCACCUGGGCAGACUAUGUGGACAGAGAAGAGCAGCAGGCCCAGGAUGAUCUCUGGGCCACUGCAAUAGUCACAGGCCACACAGGAGAAGAAGGGCCACCCAAAGACGCUGGAAGGAGAGGCACAACACUAUGGAGGCCAUGGGAGAAAUCUUUCCAGGAAGGAGGGUGCACUCCCCGAAGCUGCUGAGGGUCAGGUAAGGUAAGAACUGAGAUGGGGCCAUGCGGAUGUGGCAGCAUGGAGGUCAUUGGUGAAGAGGGAAAGGCCGUUCUGCAAUAUGUUUAGGAGAAAUGUAAGAUUAGGAGGUAGACACAACACGCAUAGACACUUCUUUCCAGAAGAGUUGCCAAAAAGAAGAGGAGGGUGUAGAGGGAAGUGUGGGGAUGAAAAAGGAAUUGUUUAAGAGUUGUGAAUGAUCUAGUAGAGAGGGAGACAUUGAUGCUUCAUGUAAAAGAGAGAAAAAUAGGAGAAGGCGAAUCCUAGAGAAUCUGAGAGUGGAUGGGGUGAGCAAACAGGUAGAGGGAUGGCGCUUUGAAAAGGUUAGAAGCACGCCAUAUACAGCAACAGAAGGGCAAGAGAGUGAGCCAAGGAGCAGGCAAGGUGGUGGAGUUACAGGGCAAGCAAACUCUCUGCUUCUAUUUCCCCACAGAAGUAUGAGGCAGGGUCAACAGGCGAGAGUGGGAGGUCAGGGAGACGAGAUUUAUGAAGCUGGAGGAGAGUGGAAAAUAUGGGGAGAACAUUUCUGGCAAGGUGCUGGUGGCUUGGUGUGUGAUUAUUCAUUUAAAGUGAGAUCAAUCUUCAUGGCAGUGUUUUUCCACAUUUCCAAAUAGCCACCCAGAUGUGAUGCCACCAAAGCAACUUAUUCCUGCAAGUACAAAGAAGGGAGGGGCGAGUGAACCCGAGGCACUUGCAAUGACAGAGCUGGAAUCCUGGACUGUGGAGUCCAAGGUUGAUCAGAGAAAUGAGAGUAUUCAUUCAAAUCAUUCCACAGAAAUUUAUUAAGCAUCUCCCAUGAGCUAGGGAUUCUUCUAGGUUCUGGCAUACAGUGAUGAAUUCUAUGCCCUCACAGAGUUUCUAAUGAGGGUAAAAUAAUUAAAUAAAUAGUACAGUGUCAGCAGGUAAGAAACACAAGAAGAAAAAUAAGCCAGGGUAGGGAGUUAGGGGAGCCAGGGUGGAUUCCCGUUUAUAUAGGAUGUCAGGGAAGACCUCUCGGAUACAGUGAUGUUGGAUCAGUGGACUGAAAGAAAUGAGGGAAUGUGGAUGUGAAUGUCAGUUGAGGGGCAGUUAGCAAUUAGUGGAGGGGGUAGGGAGGGAAGAGGAGAAAGUGAGCAAUGGUUAAAAAGUGGUAGUGGCAAUAGAUGGGAUGUCUUGAUGAGAUUCAAAUAUUGCACAAAACAGGGUGAGUUCUAAGGAUAAAGAGUGGCAGCCCCACAUUGGCAUCUCAAAGAAUUCAGAGUUCUUGGAAGUGAUGAUGUCAAGCUAUUGACUAUGGGAAUGGGUGGUCAAGACAAAAUAAAAUAAAUAAAUAUUAACUAUUUAAAUUAAUAAAUAGUUUUUUCAAUUUAUAAAAAAUAAGCAUUAUUGGAGGUGAGAAAGUCAAAGCCAAGGGUGCUGAAUGGAUUCUCCACAUGGAUGCUGAAAUUGCCGAGGACUGGGAUGGGAUAGGGGAGGGAAGGAAGAAAGGCAGUGAGCAGGUCCUACAGUCACUAGGAGUGAGGAAGAAAGAUGGUGGAGGACAAGAAGGAGGGGUGAGGUGUGAGGAGCUCAGGCUUCAAAGGAGCUGGAAAUUUGGAAGGGAGGGAGAAUGGAUGAGAAACAGUUAAGUGGGAGCAAGGAGGACACAGAAAUAUGUUGGGUAUGAAGAAAGAAAGGGCCUUGCUUAUGUGGACUUCAGGGAAAGCAAAGGCAUUAAGGGGCAGCCAAGCUUCAGUUAAGACAGAAAGGUGAAGGAUGUGUGCAGAGAGGAGCUUGAAGACAGAGGACAGACUGCUGUUGUUGUUAGACCUGGACUUCCUAGGGGCACAGUGGGAGGCCCAGGUCCCUCAAGACAAGGACACAUGUGGCAGUGAGGAUUGAGGGAUGUUGGAUGCUGAGGGUGGCUUGUGUUUCUGGAGAUGGCCAGGGAAGCAGGGAUGGGGGACAUUAUAGGAUUUGUCCUGAUCAUCUCUUCACGGAAGGAGAUAAAAACGUUGAUUCUGGAUGGUAUGGGGCUACUGGUGGCUGUCUUCUCCUGCAGCUGCCUGUGCCAAUGUGCCUAAGGCCUUCCCUUCACUACGGGCUGCUCUCUCAAACAAUGGGAUGCCUGUGGUGCUGCCAGGCUCUGCUGUCUAAUGGCACAGGGGCACAACUGCACAGUGGAGUGGUCCUGCAGGAGCACACACCCAAGGAGGGAGGUCCUACAGGAAAGGUUUUCAAAAUGACGUCUUGCCUGGGCUUUGGCCCCAAGCAUCAGAAGGCAUUAGCCAGGCAUCAAGUGUUGCAGGCAAAGGGAAGAACAUGUGUAAAGACAUAAACUCCUGAAAUGCCAAGGGCUGCAACAAUCCACAAUCAAUUUGAUGUCAUCAGAGCAGACGUUGAGAGGUGAGUCCAGGGUGCUGAGGGGGGCAGCAGUCACCUAAUAAGAUAAGGUUCAGAGAGCCCCUAACAUAGAGUCAGGAACAAGGUAAGCACGUCACACACCUGGUUUCUCUCCUCCUAUUUUCCUCAUUGUAGUGUCAUUUCAGGUCUGAGACUAAGAAGGGACACUGUUCGUCCUUGCCCUACGCCUGAUGGAUGCCUGGUGAGGAUCAAAGCAGACAGCAUAUGUUGUUAUGGACUGACCAUUUGUGUCCCCUCAAAGUUCACAUGUUGAAGCCCUAAUCUCCAGUGUGAUGGUGUUUGGAGGUGGAGCCUUUGGGAGGUGAUUAGGGUUAGAUGAGGUCCUUCAUGAGGAUGGGGUCCUCAUGAUGAGAUUAGUGCCCUUAUAAGAAGAGACGCCAGAGGGCUUUCUUCCUCUCUCUCCGCCAUGUGAGGACACAGUGAGAAGGCUGUCAUUGGCAAAGCAGGAAGAGGGCCCUCCCAGACACUGAAUCUGCCGAUGCCGUCAUCUUGGGUUUCCAGCCUCCAGAACUGUGAGAAGUAGAUGUUUGCUGUUUAAGCCACUCAGUCUGCGGUAUUUUGCUAUAGCAGCCUGAACUGAGACAUGUAUGAAUGCACUUUGCAAACUAUAAAAUGUUAUGCAUGUGCUUGUUAUUCACAGCUGGGUGUUUGCUCAUUUCUAGCUUGUAAGUAGUGUGUUAUAAACAUUCCUGUGCAAAUAGAUUUUGGGUUACUUCUGAGGUCUGUUCCCUACAGUGAGAUCACCAGGACAGAGAUGGGCCUGGAUGAGAGCUGAAUGUUGUGAUUCAGAUGAGCUUUCCCUAGAGACUUGAUACCACACAUGCAUUUGGACAAGUAUAAGCAAUAUUUACAAUCCUCACAGACGAGUCUAUAAGAGCUGGGCCUUCCUAGCAAUGCACUUUGAACAAAUUACUUAAUUUUUCAAAGCCCCAGUCGCUUCAUCGGGAAAAUGGAACGAAAUCGCUACUUCUUGGCAUUGGUGUUAAGAGGAGCUCUUAAAUGAGAUACGUUGCAAAGUUCUUAGGUUGUUAUUUGGCCCGUAACAAGACUACCAUAACUAUUUGUUGAGGUUUUAGAUUGAACUCUAUUAAAUCACCAUUUUUUUAGGUCUAAUAUCAUGAAACAUUGAGUCCAAAUAGCUCAGUUUGUUAUUAACUUCCUAAUAUUCAUCAUUGCUACUCUCACCCACAAUCCAUCUUUCCCUCUCUGGCUAAUUGUGCCCUUGGAGCUACAUGAAGACUUUCCAAGGGUCCUUGGACAAUCAAAUGAACAGAGUCAAUUUCCAAAUCCUGAAGGCCCAUCUGAACUCUUCCUUACCACUGUUCUUCCUGAGAAUGGCCCUGGAGUCAACACCUUUUUCCCAAAUCCUUUCCCUCUCUCCUCACUCAAAGAGCCAUUCUCCCACCUUAAAAAGGAGAAGUAAGUGGCCCCCAGGUGCCAAAUCCUCCAGAUCACCAUCUAAGGGGCAAUUCAGAAAUCUGAUGGAAGAAAUCCUGCUUUGAUCAGGACAGAAAAAUCUCCAAAUCCACCUAAAUGAGGGUUAUCUUUGCCAUAACAGUUUAUCUUUAUAUUUAAUACCUAUUGAUCAAUAUUUGAAAUAUAUGUUGACUUGAUCAACUGUGUACUAAUAAUAACUGUAAGGACAGCUCAAUCCAGAAAAUUUUUUUCAGCACUUACAGUUAUCAAAAUUUUUUAAAAUUAAAUUUUAGUUAUAAACACUCUGAAUGUGAAGAGAUUGCAAUAUUUGUUUGUUUUCUUUGUAACAGAUAGUGGUGGGUAUCGAAUCAUUUGUUAUCCCCUUGUUACAUUUUAAAGAGUGACGAAACGAUUUUAAUUUAAAAUGUCAACAUUUGCACAUCAAAAUAAAUUACAUCCUUUGCAACUGUUUAAACUUUCGCGAAAAAUUUUAGAUGUCAGUUUAAAAAUGCAUGAGGGAGGGGCCGGCCCCGUGGCCUAGUGGUUAAAUUCUGCACACUCUGCUUCAGUGGCUCGGGUUCAGUUCCCUGGUGUGGACGUACACCACUUGGUGGUGGCCAUGCUGUGGCACCAAUCCACAUACAAAAUAGAGGAGGAUUGGCACAGAUGUUAGCUCAGGGCAAAUCUUCCUCAGCCAAAAAUAAAUAAAUAAAUAAAUAAAAUAAAAAUGCACGAAGGAGAUAUAUAGUUUCUUGGAAUUCAUUCUGAAGGUAAAUAAACAUGAAGAUCGAUGUCCUGGGGAAGCUGAGAGAGGGUAGGGGCAGAGGAGGCAAUGCUGUCCUUUCGCAUCUAUGGUGUCUCCUGGCGCAGCCC